GAUGAACGCUAGCGGCAGGCUUAAUACAUGCAAGUCGAGGGGCAGCGCAGUGUAGCAAUACAUGGGCGGCGACCGGCAAACGGGUGCGGAACACGUACACAACCUUCCUACAAGUGGGGAAUAGCCCAGAGAAAUUUGGAUUAAUACCCCGUAACAUAGCGAUGUGGCAUCACAUUGCUAUUAUAGCUUCGGCGCUUGUUGAUGGGUGUGCGGCUGAUUAGAUAGUUGGCGGGGUAACGGCCCACCAAGUCUACGAUCAGUAGCUGAUGUGAGGGCAUGAUCAGCCAAACGGGCAAUGAGACACGGGCCCGACUCCUACGGGAGGCAGCAGUAAGGAAUAUUGGACAAUGGACGCAAGUCUGAUCCAGCCAUGCCGCGUGAAGGAUUAAGGUCCUCUGGAUUGUAAACCUCUUUUAUAAGGGACGAAAAAAGGUCUUUCUAGAUCGUCUGACGGUACCUUAUGAAUAGGCACCGGCUAACUCCGUGCCAGCAGCCGCCGUAAUAC
rnacentral:rRNA from 1 species